rnacentral:ncRNA from 1 species
AUUCUGGUUGAUCCUACCAGUGAUAUACGCUCGUGCUCAAAGGUUAAGCCAUGCAUGUCUAAGUACAAGCUUCCUAGAAAGUGAAACCGCAUAAGGCUCAGUAUAACAGCUAUAAUUUACAAGAUCCUCAUCCAAACAGUUACUUGGAUAACUGUGGAAAAGCCAGAGCUAAUACAUGCAUUAUGCCGGGACUGUUGGCCUCCGGGUCGGCGGAACUGGUGCACUUAUUAGUUAAACCAAUCGCCUCCGGGCGCUUUGAGUUGAAAUCUGGAUAAGGAUGCCGAUCGUACGGUCGCUUGCGACUGACGACAGAUCUUUCAAAUGUCUGCCCUAUCAACUAUUGAUGGUAGUGUAGAGGACUACCAUGGUUGCGACGGGUAACGGGGAAUCAGGGUUCGAUUCCGGAGAGGGAGCCUGAGAAAUGGCUACCACAUCCAAGGAAGGCAGCAGGCGCGUAAAUUACCCAAUCCCGGCACGGGGAGGUAGUGACGAGAAAUAACAAUAUGGACCUCUCUAACGAUGGUCCAUAAUUGGAAUGAGUUGAGCAUAAAUCCUUUUGCAAGGAUCAAGUGGAGGGCAAGUCUGGUGCCAGCAGCCGCGGUAAUUCCAGCUCCACUAGCGUAUAUUAAAGUUGUUGCGGUUAAAACGUUCGAAGUUGAUACCCCGUCCAGACUCGCGUCCGUCGCGGGCGCCCGGCCUCUCGGUUGGGACCGUCCGUGUACGCGCUCGCGGCUGCGACUCACAAUGGUGUACCUGGGCGUUCUACUCCGUGACGGGUCAGGACUUGUCGCCGCGACCUCGUCGGUCAAGGUCUUGUUCGACCCAGCUUCAUGGUGCCCGGGAACUCUCGUUUACCUUGAACAAAUUAGAGUG